UACGAAGGGGGCUAGCGUUGUUCGGAUUUACUGGGCGUAAAGCGCACGUAGGCGGAUCGUUAAGUCGGGGGUGAAAUCCUGGAGCUCAACUCCAGAACUGCCUUCGAUACUGGCGAUCUUGAGUCCGGAAGAGGUGAGUGGAACUCCUAGUGUAGAGGUGGAAUUCGUAGAUAUUAGGAAGAACACCAGUGGAGAAGGCGGCUAACUGGUCCGGUACUGACGCUGAGGUGAGAAAGCGUGGGGAGCAAACAGG
rnacentral:rRNA from 1 species